rnacentral:rRNA from 1 species
AUUGAACGCUGGCGGCAUGCCUUACACAUGCAAGUCGAACGGCAGCGCGGGAGCAAUCCUGGCGGCGAGUGGCGAACGGGUGAGUAAUACAUCGGAACGUGCCCAAUCGUGGGGGAUAACGCAGCGAAAGCUGUGCUAAUACCGCAUAAGAUCUACGGAUGAAAGCAGGGGAUCGCAAGACCUUGCGCGAAUGGAGCGGCCGAUGGCAGAUUAGGUAGUUGGUGAGGUAAAGGCUCACCAAGCCUUCGAUCUGUAGCUGGUCUGAGAGGACGACCAGCCACACUGGGACUGAGACACGGCCCAGACUCCUACGGGAGGCAGCAGUGGGGAAUUUUGGACAAUGGGCGCAAGCCUGAUCCAGCCAUGCCGCGUGCAGGAUGAAGGCCUUCGGGUUGUAAACUGCUAUUGUACGGAACGAAAAGGUUCUUUCUAAUAAAGAGAGCUCAUGACGGUACCGUAAGAAUAAGCACCGGCUAACUACGUGCCAGCCGCCGCAGUAACAC